CAUUAUCGUACAAUGGAGGUGCUGGGGCUGUCGCUGACCUUUGAAAAAGGUCGUGCACGCCCGAGGCACACUCUCUCACAUCCAUCUCACCCCUUUGUGCAUUGCCGCGUGGGUCCCCUUUAUGGCUUGUUCCGAGGGGGGAUCUGCGUUUUUACACAGACACCCUUUAAAUGCAUGUGUAGAAUGUCUUACUUUUUGCGAUCGCACGCAAUCAAUACAACUUUCAACAACGGAUCUCUUGGCUCUCGCAUCGAUGAAGAACGCAGCGAAAUGCGAUACGUAAUGUGAAUUGCAGAAUUCAGUGAAUCAUCGAAUCUUUGAACGCACCUUGCGCCCCUUGGUAUUCCGAGGGGCACACCCGUUUGAGUGUCGUGAAUACUCUCAACCUUCUUGGUUUCUUUGAACCAGGAAGGCUUGGACUUUGGAGGUUUUUUGUUGCUGGCCUCUUUUGAAGCCAGCUCCUCCUAAAUGAAUGGGUGGGGUCCGCUUUGCUGAUCCUCGACGUGAUAAGCAUUUGUUUCUACGUCUUGGGUUUUGCGGUGUCAGCUCGGAAACCCUCGCUUUCCAACCGUCUUUUGGACAAAGACAAGGUUCGAGUUGCAACUCGACCUUACAAACCUUGACCUCAAAUCGGGUGAGACUACCCGCUGAACUUAAGCAUAUCAAUAAGCGGAGGAAAAGAAACUAACAAGGAUUCCCCUAGUAACUGCGAGUGAAGCGGGAAAAGCUCAAAUUUAAAAUCUGG
rnacentral:rRNA from 1 species